rnacentral:sRNA from 1 species
GAACGAUUCGAGAAGAAUUCAGAAUACAAAUAUACAUGCACAUUUACAACGAAACAACUGUUU